GUGGGGAAUAUUGCACAAUGGGGGGAACCCUGAUGCAGCAACGCCGCGUGAAGGAAGAAGUAUUUCGGUAUGUAAACUUCUAUCGACAGGGAAGAAAGAGAUGACGGUACCUGAAUAAGAAGCCCCGGCUAACUACGUGCCAGCAGCCGCGGUAAUACGUAGGGGGCGAGCGUUAUCCGGAAUUACUGGGUGUAAAGGGUGAGUAGGCGGCUAUGCAAGUCAUAUGUGAAAUACAGGGGCUUAACCCCUGUGCCGCAUAAGAAACUGUACAGCUUAGAGUGCAGGAGAGGCAAGCGGAAUUCCUGGUGUAGCGGUGAAAUGCGUAGAUAUCAGGAAGAACACCGGUGGCGAAGGCGGCUUGCUGGACUGUAACUGACGCUGAGUCACGAAAGCGUGGGGAGCGAACAGGA
rnacentral:rRNA from 1 species